rnacentral:rRNA from 1 species
UACGUAGGGGGCUAGCGUUGUCCGGAAUCAUUGGGCGUAAAGCGCGCGUAGGCGGCCCGGUAAGUCCGCUGUAAAAGUCCAGGGCUCAACCCUGGAACGCCGGUGGAUACUGUCGGGCUAGAGUCCGGAAGAGGCGAGUGGAAUUCCAGGUGUAGCGGUGAAAUGCGUAGAUAUCCGGAGGAACACCGGUGGCGAAGGCGGCUUCCUGGACCGACACUGACGCUGAGGCGCGAAAGCCAGGGGAGCAAACGGG